rnacentral:rRNA from 1 species
CCCCGGUGGAGCUGUGGUUUAUUCGAAGCAACGCGAAGAACCUUACCAGGUCUUGACAUCCUCUGACAACCCUAGAGAUAGGGCUUCUCCUUCGGGAGCAGAGUGACAGGUGGUGCAUGGUUGUCGUCAGCUCGUGUCGUGAGAUGUUGGGUUAAGUCCCGCAACGAGCGCAACCCUUGAUCUUAGUUGCCAUCAUUUAGUUGGGCACUCUAAGGUGACUGCCGGUGACAAACCGGAGGAAGGUGGGGAUGACGUCAAAUCAUCAUGCCCCUUAUGACCUGGGCUACACACGUGCUACAAUGGACGGUACAAAGAGCUGCAAGACCGCGAGGUGGAGCUAAUCUCAUAAAACCGUUCUCAGUUCGGAUUGUAGGCUGCAACUCGCCUACAUGAAGCUGGAAUCGCUAGUAAUCGCGGAUCAGCAUGCCGCGGUGAAUACGUUCCCGGGCCUUGUACACACCCGCCCGUUG